rnacentral:lncRNA from 1 species
AAGAAAUGCCUUUGAGAUAGUCUUGGGUGAUUGUCCCUAAAGAGUUUCCUACAGAACACAUUUAUGACGUAUGACUCUACCCAUCCUUCCUCUUUGAAAGAUUUCCCCAAUUGUUCCAAAGAAACCCUGCAAUUAUCAAUUUCAACAACCCAUUUCAUGUAUGUUGAGGAAAAGGGAGGGAGGAAGAACACAUGAGAAGUGAAAAAGUUAUUGUUAGAAAAAGCAAAUAAACAAAUGAUGAACGCAGAACAAAACUUAAGAAAAAAAGCCACAAAGAUAGAAACACAAUGAGGAGAAAAGAGAAAAAUACCCCUUGUAAUCUGCAUGACUGCUUAAGAUCAUGAUAUUGUUGUAGAGAUCCAAUUCAUGGCUCAAAAUUUCUCCCCUGUUAUACCCGUCAUAAGGAG